GUAUCCGUGACACUUGUAUCCCUGGCAUUGUUCAGAAGCCCCUCUCUGUUGAGUGAAGCUGAACUGUUUAUAUCUCCAGUAAUAAAGGAAGACUCGGACUGCUUUCGAACUGUGUCGUUCCACAUCCUACGAAUCCGGCUCUGUGAGCCUGUGGAAUAUCUUCCAGGUGUCCGUGACCCCGAGGUUUUUCCUGAGCCAAUGGAGCUCUCUGUACUUUUCCCACUACAGCAAUGUGUGCGCAGGCAUUUUCCGUACUCUUUACGUACCUUUUUCUGGAGGACACAAUGGAAAAUGAAUAUAAACAUUCCCUGCAGAGAAUUGAAUAUGGUGAAGAGAUACGCCAUGAUGACUGUGCUUUCAUUAAUAUACAUGAGUCCAAAUGCCCAGGUCAGUCCUAAUAGGCAAAGCAGGGCUAUCGCACC
rnacentral:lncRNA from 1 species